rnacentral:lncRNA from 1 species
UGGGGUGGCAUCCCACAUAGCAGAACUAGAAACUAGAAGGACCUGCAACUAGAAUACAUAACUAUGCACUAGAGGGCUUUGGGGAGGAGAAGAAAAAAUAAUAAAAAGAAAGAAAGAAAAUAUUCCUAGCAAAUAACAGGUGCUUAAGGAAUGUUAGUCCACACUCCAAAGCUGCCAUCAUCAUCGACAAACGUGGUAUAGUCUGUAAGAUUUUGAAGAUCUCUCAAAUAUUUGUAGAGACAAACUCUGGAUUCUAAACUCAUUUCUGGCUAUAUCUCCUUAGAGCUGGAUGGUUGAUGGCUCGGUCACAGGAUUUUAAAGAGCUGCUGGAGUCUAACGUGCAGAAGACUCAAACCAAGCCACGGAGAAGGUGUUCUCCAGCUCACGGAAGUCCUGAGAUGCCUGAAUUCUACCCAGGGGGAUGAACAAUUUUUCCAUCUCUCCAAAGCCAACCAGGUUGAUUUCAGAGGACUGUGUCAGGUGAGAGCUGUGUCUGUAUCCAGCAUCACUGUAUAAUUUAAGGUUGAAAUGGAAGAUGCAAUUAAAAGUUUGGUUUGGACCAGUCAGCUACAAUUCAACAUAUUAUAAUUCAGUAUGAACUCUACCAGGUACUUCAGACACUUAAAACCAAGAGGUGAGCAGGAGAAAUAGCUUGCCUGCUACCAGAUGAUGUUGGCACCAC